CACGUGUUGGUAUAGGAGAAGUCAGCAGAAGUCAUAGUAGUUGAUCGCAACGAGCCGAUGGAAAGAUCGGAGGUCUCACAAAUCAAUGAAGGAC
rnacentral:ncRNA from 1 species